GACGGGGGAUGCGAGCGUUAUCCGGAAUGAUUGGGCGUAAAGGGUCCGCAGGUGGCCCGGUCAGUCCGCUGUCAAAGCCUGGGGCUCAACCCUGGAGAGGCGGCGGAGACCACCGGGCUUGAGUCCGGUAGGGGCAGAGGGAAUUCCCGGUGGAGCGGUGAAAUGCGUAGAGAUCGGAAAAGAACACCAACGGCGAAAGCACUCUGCUGGGCCGACACUGACACUGAGAGACGAAAAGCUAGGGGGAGAAAUGGG
rnacentral:rRNA from 1 species